rnacentral:sRNA from 1 species
GCCGCCCAAGGGCGACGCCGGCCGACGAGGUUUCGUCCGCCGGCGUGUUUUGC